AUUGAACGCUGGCGGCAUGCCUUACACAUGCAAGUCGAACGGCAGCACGGACUUCGGUCUGGUGGCGAGUGGCGAACGGGUGAGUAAUGUAUCGGAACGUACCUUUCAGUGGGGGAUAACGUAGCGAAAGUUACGCUAAUACCGCAUAUUCUGUGAGCAGGAAAGCAGGGGAUCGCAAGACCUUGCGCUGAUUGAGCGGCCGAUAUCAGAUUAGCUAGUUGGUGGGGUAAAGGCCUACCAAGGCUACGAUCUGUAGCGGGUCUGAGAGGAUGACCCGCCAGACUGGGACUGAGACACGGCCCAGACUCCUGCGGGAGGAAGCAGUGGGGAAUUGUGGACAAUGGGGGCAACCCUGAUCCAGCCAUGCCGCGUGGGUGAAGAAGGCCUUCGGGUUGUAAAGCUCUUUCGGCCGGGAAGAAAUCGCAUCAGCUAAUACCAGGUGUGGAUGACGGUACCGGAAUAAGAAGCACCGGCUAACUACGUGCCAGCCGCCGCAGUAA
rnacentral:rRNA from 1 species